rnacentral:lncRNA from 1 species
CGAAAUUGUGUGAUUGAUUGUGGGAGAUGCAUCAGCAGUUUGUCUUAAAUGUGACUAGGAAGCCUGGGAUUCAUCAAUCGACGACAUGGAAUUUCUAGUUAUUGAAGAAGAACAGUUGUGAAAUCACAAAGAUAUUUGGAGCUAUAUUGUGUGGUUCUUGUUAGGUCAAUCGGCCAAGGGACUUGGUGCAAAAGACAACAUAUAUUGUCAAAUAAUGUUUAUUUUGUCUGGUUGUUUUCACGAAAGAAUAAGCAUCUUCAGGCAAGUCUUCUUAAACUGCUAAGAUGCCAAAUAACAGCCACGACCAAGUUUUCUGUGCAUUAGAAGAUAGUAUUGUACAGUAACUUCUUUUUCUCCUUUGAUCAUGUUUAGAGUAUAAAAAUACGUGAACAUAAUAUCUAUGGCAACGACAAUAACUAAGUGUGGUGAAAAUUUUUGUAAUAGGA